GAGGAAGCCCGGUGCGAUUCCGGCGCGGUCCCGCCACUGUGAGCCCGGCCCCCAGGGGCCGGGUGAGCCAGGAACUC
rnacentral:ncRNA from 2 species